rnacentral:rRNA from 1 species
UAUUCCCCACUGCUGCCUCCCGUAGGAGUCUGGACCGUGUCUCAGUUCCAGUGUGGCUGGUCAUCCUCUCAGACCAGCUAGGGAUCGUCGCCUAGGUGAGCCGUUACCCCACCUACUAGCUAAUCCCAUCUGGGCACAUCCGAUGGCAAGAGGCCCGAAGGUCCCCCUCUUUGGUCUUGCGACGUUAUGCGGUAUUAGCUACCGUUUCCAGUAGUUAUCCCCCUCCAUCAGGCAGUUUCCCAGACAUUACUCACCCGUCCGCCACUCGUCAGCAAAGAAGCAAGCUUCUUCCUGUUACCGUUCGACUUGCAUGUGUUAGGCCUGCCGCCAGCGUUCAUCCUGAGCCAA